rnacentral:rRNA from 1 species
CCCUACGGGGUGCACCAGGCGCGAAACCUCUGCAAUAGGCGAAAGCUUGACAGGGUUACUCUGAGUGAUGUCCGUUAAGGGCAUCUUUUGGCACUUCUAAAAAUAGUGCAGAAUGAGGGGUGGGCAAGUCUGGUGUCAGCAGCCGCGGUAA